UACGGAGGGUGCGAGCGUUGUCCGGAAUCAUUGGGCGUAAAGGGCGCGUAGGUGGCGGGACAAGCGUGCGGUGAAAGCUCGGGGCUCAACCCCGAGUCGGCCGUGCGAACUGUUUUGCUGGAGCACUGUAGAGGCAGGCGGAAUUCCGGGUGUAGCGGUGGAAUGCGUAGAGAUCCGGAAGAACACCGGUGGCGAAGGCGGAUCUCUGGGCCAUUACUGACGCUGAGGAGCGAAAGCGUGGGGAGCGAACAGG
rnacentral:rRNA from 1 species